rnacentral:rRNA from 1 species
GAUGAACGCUGGCGGCGUGCCUAAUACAUGCAAGUCGAGCGAACAGACGAGGAGCUUGCUCCUCUGACGUUAGCGGCGGACGGGUGAGUAACACGUGGAUAACCUACCUAUAAGACUGGGAUAACUUCGGGAAACCGGAGCUAAUACCGGAUAAUAUAUUGAACCGCAUGGUUCAAUAGUGAAAGACGGUUUUGCUGUCACUUAUAGAUGGAUCCGCGCCGCAUUAGCUAGUUGGUAAGGUAACGGCUUACCAAGGCAACGAUGCGUAGCCGACCUGAGAGGGUGAUCGGCGACACUGGAGCUGAGACACGGUCCAGACUCCUACGGGAGGCAGCAGUAGGGAAUCUGCCGCAAUGGGCGAAAGCCUUACGGAGCAACGCCGCGUGAGUGAUGAAGGUCUUCGGAUCGUAAAACUCUGUUAUUAGGGAAGAACAAAUGUGUAAGUAACUAUGCACGUCUUGACGGUACCGAAUCAGAAAGCCACGGCUAACUACGUG